rnacentral:misc_RNA from 1 species
UGGGCUUGACAUGGUGCUGCAAGCGCACGGAAACGUGUGACCUUCGAGGGUGCACCACAGAUGCUGCAUGGCUGUCGUCAGCUCGUGUCGUGAGAUGUUGGGUUAAGUCCCGCAACGAGCGCAACCCUUGUCGCGUGUUGCCAGCAUUAAGUUGGGGACUCACGCGAGACUGCCGGUGACAAACCGGAGGAAGGUGGGGAUGACGUGUCCUUGAUAGG